rnacentral:rRNA from 1 species
GACGAACGCUGGCGGCGUGCUUAACACAUGCAAGUCGAACGCUGAAGACCUGGCUUUUGUUGGGUUGGAUGAGUGGCGAACGGGUGAGUAACACGUGAGUAACCUGCCCUCUUCUUUGGGAUAACGCCCGGAAACGGGUGCUAAUACUGGAUAUUCACUGAUCUUCGCAUGGGGGUUGGUGGAAAGGUUUGUUCUGGUGGGGGAUGGGCUCGCGGCCUAUCAGCUUGUUGGUGGGGUGAUGGCCUACCAAGGCUUUGACGGGUAGCCGGCCUGAGAGGGUGACCGGUCACAUUGGGACUGAGAUACGGCCCAGACUCCUACGGGAGGCAGCAGUGGGGAAUAUUGCACAAUGGGCGAAAGCCUGAUGCAGCGACGCCGCGGGAGGGAUGGAGGCCUUCGGGUUGUAAACCUCUUUCGCUCAUGGUCAAGCCGCAACUGUGGGUUGUGGUGAGGGUAGUGGGUAAAGAAGCGCCGGCUAACUACGU